GGACAUUCCUUGUGGGGACAGGGAAGAUCCUCUGGAGCUCCACUCGGACCACUGAGCCCUGCUUCCUGGCACUUUAACCUAACAAGUCCAGAUAUGAUCUCAUCAUCCUCCUCCCCCUCUUCUCCUGACUUCUCACUUUCCUAAAGGCCCUGUCUCAGCUGGUGGUGCCAGCAUCCACCCACUUGCCAACACAGAAAUCUGGGAGUCAUCGUGGACUCUUCUCGCCCCUUCCCAGCCCACAUCUGACCAGUCACUAAGUCCUCUCGCUGCUGUCUUCAUGUCUGUUACUUCUAUACAACCUCACCACUCUCAUCUGAGCACCAGCCUCCACAUCUCCCAUGUCUACUCUUAAAGGCUCUUCCUGCCUCUUGACUGGCUUUUUUCCAUCUACCUUCCUUACUGAUGCCAGAGUGAGUUUUCUCAAAAGCGAACUGGACCGUAUCAUUUCCAGGGCUUAGAACCAUGGCUCUCCCCCAGUGUUGUCUUCAGGAUGAAAUCCAGCCCCUUAGCCUGAGAUAUAAGACACAUUAUGAUUGGCUGGUGUAAACUUCUUUAGCUGCUUCCCUUGUAUUUGUGCACCCUCGUUAUAUAUGCUUUGAUAAGAUAAAAGCUGCUUCUAGCAAACGGAGUACAUUGUACUGCCUGAUGCUGUCACUCCUUUUGCAUGUGGAAGACUCUCUUCUUGAGUUCCCAUUCAGCACCUAUUCAUACUUUAAAAUCCAUCCCAGAAAUCCCCACCUCCUCUGGAAAGACUUCUUUUCCUUCAUGCUACUUCUGGUCCCAGCACAAGCUUCUCCUUGCCAUUCUUUGCAUAGUAAUAUAAUGAUGCCUUUACUUACCAAAUGAACUCUUUCAAGGCUAGGACCGUGACUUAUUCUUUUUGGUAUCCCCAAGCUUAGCAUGGGGGCUAACCCAGAAUAGUGGCUCACAAAUAAAUAAAUUGGAUGAGUUUGGGUCCAAGACCUUCAAAUGCAACCUGGAAACUCUCAGCCUUCUAGAAACUUCUAAGAACCAAUAAGUAUUGGCAACGAAGGCAGUUUAGCAGGAGUGAAUCAUUGUCCUUUAUGGGGUUAAUACUGAAGAGAGUAUGACCUGGGAGCCAUCCUGUACUUCCUAACAUUGUGUUUGAUCAAGGGCACCUCUAAUUACAGCUGGGCCUCUUCCUGGGCCUAGGACACCUGUAAGACUGUAUUUAUCAAGGCUUUGACCAGGUUAGAGUAGAGUUUAAUGGUAAAAGCUAGGCAUCACAAUUAGGCAGAAUUAGGUUUUGAUCUUUGGUUGGUUGUGCAACUUUGGAGUGGUAAUUUUACUUCUUUAUGUCUUGGUCUCCUCAUCUAUAAAAUGAGGAUAAAAAAGGCUCCCAUGCCUUUGUAAAGAUGAAAUGACUUCCUGCAUCUGAAGUGCUUAACAUAGUACCUAUCAUAUGGGAGCAAAAGUGUGGCCUUACUGGGAACUAUUAGAGAAACAAAGCAUUCAUGCUGAUAUUUGAGCCUCAGUGUAAAUGUCCCUUCUUCUCUUACUAGCGCACUCAAGCUGACUGCAUUAAGGUGUCUGUUGACCUUGUAAAACAAGCUGAGUCCUGAAGCACAAGGCUGAUCUUGUCCAUGCUGUGGAUGUCUGUCCUUUUAUCUUGUUCACUUCUCAUCUGUUUACAUUGAUGCUUAAGGCUAGAAGAAGGUGCCUCGUCAGAAGACACAAACACACGCCAGACCCAGGAAGAUUGGAAGGGAGGGUGUGCAAGGCAGAAAGAUACACCAGCACCUGCCAUGAUGCAUCUUGGCUGAGAAAUUUGAGCCAGGAACCUCCCCUUCCCACAGGCUACCCGCUCCAACCCACAGUGGAAGGAGACCCUAAGCUUAUUUCAACCUCCAUUCUGGGACAUACAGUUACCUGCAUGGGGGAUAGGACUUCCCCUACAAAGCAGAUUCAAAGAUAAAAUUAUUAAGAAGUUCAAGAUGGCAAGUGCAGAGCAUUAAACUCCAAGCAAGAGGCCCUUCUGAGCAUUGGACCCUGUGUGAUUGCCUUGAUCUUAUACUUAUAGCCUCUCCCAAGGAUCAUUGUCCCCUCUUUCCCUGUCAGGGUCUUGUCUUUGGUGUAAAGGGAUGCACUUGGCAUUCUUUGAAGUUCUGCCAUUCUUAGAGUGCAGUCCUGUGCCUGCUCUUCAGCUCUGGUAGCCCGCAAGCUGUGGGAGCUUUCCCCUUGGGGGCUCAUCGCCUUGGCUGGGAAUGUGUGUCCAGGCGGAGGGCUGAAAGGAUUGGCCCCUGUUGUGUUCUGCAGAGUUUUAAGAAUGUGAGUAUGUGUGCUCGGGUGUACACCUCAAGAUGAGUGCCCUGGCCUUCCAGCCUGGAACUAACCACUGCUUCUUUCCCUGUCCCUGAGGAGCCUGGCUGUACUUACCCUUGGGCACUGCUCUUUCCAAGAGCUGUCUUCUUUGGCUGACAUCCCCUUGUCCUCAGGCUGUGGGGCAGGGAGGAGUGUCCUGAGCCAGGCCAUUUGUGUGCACCUGCUGUUCUCGGUUCCCAGCCCAGCCAGUGCCCUGCUGCUGCUCUGUCUCCAGGCACUGGCUGGCAGGCAGUCCUACCCUCAGCCCCCAUGGAAAUGCAGGAAAGAGCAGCUCUAAGGCCCUCUUCAGAAUCUGUUACCUGGUUGGCACUUGGCUGUCCUCCUAUUCCCUACGCCACUGUUUUCCAUCUCCAUUGGGACCCAACCAUCUUCUGGCUUUCCAGAGGGAUUCCUCACAGUUUUGACAGGACCUCAGACUCAUCCAGCUCCUUAUCACUUUCAUUUUUCCUCCAGGGUUGGACUGUGGUGAGGGAGCCAGCAGCCCUUUGUUAGUUUAUCAUGUUGCUGGAAACCAGAAACAGCAGUGAGAAUGGACUUUAAAAGCAGCCUCUUGAAGACUAUUAAAUAUGGAGAACAAACAGAGGGUUACUGGAGGGGUUGUGGGAGGGGGGUGGGCUAAAUGGG